CAAGCGUUGUCCGGAAUUAUUGGGCGUAAAGGGCUCGUAGGCGGUCCAUCGCGUCGGGUGUGAAAAGCUGGGGCUUAACCCCAGUCCUGCUUCCGAUACGGGUGGACUAGAGGUAGAUAGGGGAGAACGGAAUUCCUGGUGUAGCGGUGAAAUGCGCAGAUAUCAGGAAGAACACCCGUGGCGAAGGCGGCUCUCUGGAACGCAACUGACGCUGAGACGCGAAAGCGUGGGGAGCAAACAGG
rnacentral:rRNA from 1 species